GUGGGGAAUUUUGGACAAUGGGCGCAAGCCUGAUCCAGCCAUGCCGCGUGCAGGAAGACGCAUCUAUGGUGUGUAAACUGCUUUUGUACGGGAAGAAACACUCCCUCGUGAGGGAGCUUGACGGUACCGUAAGAAUAAGGAUCGGCUAACUCCGUGCCAGCAGCCGCGGUAAUACGGAGGAUCCAAGCGUUAUCCGGAAUCAUUGGGUUUAAAGGGUCCGUAGGCGGUUUAAUAAGUCAGUGGUGAAAGCCCAUCGCUCAACGAUGGAACGGCCAUUGAUACUGUUAGACUUGAAUUACAAGGAAGUAACUAGAAUAUGUAGUGUAGCGGUGAAAUGCUUAGAUAUUACAUGGAAUACCAAUUGCGAAGGCAGGUUACUACUUGUGGAUUGACGCUGAUGGACGAAAGCGUGGGGAGCGAACAGGAUUAGAAACCCCUGUAGUCC
rnacentral:rRNA from 1 species